ensembl:lncRNA
UCUCUCUCUCCUUCCAGGUAUCCAGGUAUCAUUGUUUCUCCGUCUCAUUGGUAGGUCUUUCAUGGUGGCCUGGGGAGGGGAGGUAUCNGCAUGGAUGAAAGAACAUCACCUACAGCUCAACCUGGCAAAGACUGAGCUUCUUGUCUUCCCUGCCACUCCUAUUCUACAGCAUGAUUUCACCAUCCAGCUAGGUUCUUCUACAAUUACCCCAUCAACUUCGGUCAGAAAUAUUGGUGUAAUCUUUGAUGACCAGCUGACCUUCAAAGACCACAUUGCAAAGACUCGAUCUUGCAGGUUUGCAUUGCACAACAUCAGAAAGAUCAGACCCUUUCUAACGGAGCAUGCUGCACAACUUCUUGUCCAGGCCCUUAUCAUUUCUAGGCUGGACUACUGCAAUGCUCUUCUGGCUGGACUUCCAUCAAGCACAAUCAAACCUCCACAAAUGAUUCAGAAUGCAGUGGCACAACUGGUCUUCAACGAGCCCAAAAGAGCCCAUAUUACACCUUUCUUUGUCUUCUUGCACUGGCUACCGGUUGCGGCUCGAAUCAAGUUCAAAACAUUGAUACUUGCAUAUAGAACAACGACAGGCUCAGCACCUGCCUACUUCCACCCACUACUACGUAUCUACAUCCCCUCCAGCAGUCUGAGAUCCGCUAGUGAGAGAUGCCCCGUGGUACAAUCACAGAGAGGGUCAAAAUCACUUUCCAGAACAUCUCAUUCACCAUUACUGGCUGGUGGAAUGAUCUUCCCACCCCUAUCCAGAAUGCGGAAUCCCUGACAAUUUUCAAGCUAUAGCUGAAAACUCAUCUCUUUCGAAUCUACUUGACUUCAUCAUAAAAAACAAAACAAAACAAAACAAAAAAAAAACAACUGUCUUUCUCUUUAUUUAUUCCUUCUCUUUCUACUUUGUAGUUAUUUGAACAAUGUCUAAAACUUGGUAUUAGACUGAAAUACUUUUAAAACUACAUUUCAUGACACAAUAACAGUAGUAUUUUUAAAAAAAUAUGCAAAUA